AUUGAACGCUGGCGGCAGGCCUAACACAUGCAAGUCGAGCGAGCGGCGGACGGGUGAGUAAUGUAUGGGGAUCUGCCCGAUAGAGGGGGAUAACUACUGGAAACGGUGGCUAAUACCGCAUACUAUCGGAUGUACCCAUAUGGGAUUAGCUAGUAGGUGGGGUAAAGGCUCACCUAGGCGACGAUCCCUAGCUGGUCUGAGAGGAUGAUCAGCCGCAGUGGGAAUGGGACACGGCCCAGACUCCGACGGGAGGCAGCAGUGGGGAAUAUUGCACAAGGGGCGCAAGCCGGAUGCAGCCAUGCCGCGUGUAUGAAGAAGGCGUUCGGGUUGUAAAGUACUUUCAGAGGGGAGGCGUUACCCGCAGAAGAAGCACCGGCUAACUCCGUGCCAGCAGCCGCGGUAAUUC
rnacentral:rRNA from 1 species